rnacentral:rRNA from 1 species
UAGGGAAUCUUUCGCAAUGGGCGAAAGCCUGACGGAGCAACGCCGCGUGAGUGAUGAAGGGUUUCGGCUCGUAAAACUCUGUUAUUAGGGAAGAACAAAUGUGUAAGUAACUGUGCACAUCUUGACGGUACCUAAUCAGAAAGCCACGGCUAACUACGUGCCAGCAGCCGCGGUAAUACGUAGGUGGCAAGCGUUAUCCGGAAUUAUUGGGCGUAAAGCGCGCGUAGGCGGUUUCUUAAGUCUGAUGUGAAAGCCGACGGCUCAACCGUGGAGGGUCAUUGGAAACUGGGAAACUUGAGUGCAGAAGAGGAAAGUGGAAUUCCAUGUGUAGCGGUGAAAUGCGCAGAGGUAUGGAGGAAAACCAGUGGCGAAGGCGACUUUCUGGUCUGUAACUGACGCUGAUGUGCGAAAGCGUGGGGAUCAAACAGG